rnacentral:tRNA from 1 species
GCAGAUGUAGCCAAGUGGAUCAAGGUAGUGGAUUGUGAAUCCACCACGCAGGGGUUCAAUUCACGUCAUUCGCC